rnacentral:lncRNA from 1 species
GUAUAAGAUAGAAAUCUUCAAAUCAUAUAAUUUUUGAUGUACCAUUAAUUUUGAGAUAGUAGAUAACAUCAAAUGAUUUGGAUCAUUAAUAUAGGAUCUUCAUUAUUUAGUUUUGAUCUAAUCAUACCUGAAUACAAAUCUUUUCAAUUUUAUUCAAAUCUGUAUCAUACAAAUAUCUUAUAUAUAAAAUAUGCCAUAGUUAACACGGCACAAUCAUCUAAAAGGAGGGAUCCGAUUAGUAAGUGGUCCAUGAGGUACGAAGGAGACC